AGUGAACGCUGGCGGUAGGCCUAACACAUGCAAGUCGAACGGCAGCACAGUAAGAGCUUGCUCUUACGGGUGGCGAGUGGCGGACGGGUGAGGAAUACAUCGGAAUCUACUUUUUCGUGGGGGAUAACGUAGGGAAACUUACGCUAAUACCGCAUACGCCCUACGGGUGAAAGAAGGGGAUCUUCGGCCCUUGCCCGAUUGAUUGAGCCGAUGUCGGAUUAGCUAGUUGGCGGGGUAAAGGCCCACCAAGGCGACGAUCCGUAGCUGGUCUGAGAGGAUGAUCAGCCACACUGGAACUGAGACACGGUCCAGACUCCUACGGGAGGCAGCAGUGGGGAAUAUUGGACAAUGGGCGCAAGCCUGAUCCAGCCAUACCGCGUGGGUGAAGAAGGCCUUCGGGUUGUAAAGCCCUUUUGUUGGGAAAGAAAAGCAGCAGGUUAAUACCCCGCUGUUCUGACGGUACCCAAAGAAUAAGCACCGGCUAACUUCGUG
rnacentral:rRNA from 1 species